UGGGGAAUUUUGGACAAUGGGGGCAACCCUGAUCCAGCCAUCCCGCGUGUGCGAUGAAGGCCUUCGGGUUGUAAAGCACUUUUGGCAGGGAAGAAACAGCCUGGGAUAAUACCCCGGGCGACUGACGGUACCUGCAGAAUAAGCACCGGCUAACUACGUGCCAGCAGCCGCGGUAAUACGUAGGGUGCAAGCGUUAAUCGGAAUUACUGGGCGUAAAGCGUGCGCAGGCGGUUCGGAAAGAAAGGUGUGAAAUCCCAGGCUUAACCUUGGAACUGCACUUUAACUACCGAGCUAGAGUACGUCAGAGGGGGGUAGAAUUCCACGUGUAGCAGUGAAAUGCGUAGAGAUGUGGAGGAAUACCGAUGGCGAAGGCAGCCCCCUGGGAUGAUACUGACGCUCAUGCACGAAAGCGUGGGGAGCAAACAGGAUUAGAUACCCUGGUAGUCCACG
rnacentral:rRNA from 1 species